rnacentral:lncRNA from 1 species
ACCGGCCCUCGCCUUGGCCUUUGCCUCCGCAGGAGAAGGGAGCCCAGGUCUCUCACGGCAGUGAAGAUUUAUUUCCGACUCAUUUCAUAGUCCUGUGGGCUGCAGCAGUGGGUUGGAGAUCCAGGCUCCUCAGUGUGAGGCCCGCACAAUCUCCAAGGAUGAGGAGGAGACACAGGGUUGGCAUACGAGGACAUUUCUAUCAUUCAUGCUCACUUAUCUCUGGCCAAGACUGGUCGCCUGAUCAGGUUAACUACAAGGAGGGUGGCGGGGCCUGGUGUAUAUGAGCCUUCACACCUCACAAGAGAGACCAGAGAGAAGAUAAUGGGGAGAAGAUACUUCAGACUAACUAUUGUCAUUAAAAGCCAUCCCACUAAAUAAGAGGGACAAACACCUAGG